rnacentral:rRNA from 1 species
UACGUAGGGGGCAAGCGUUGUCCGGAUUUACUGGGCGUAAAGCGCGUGUAGGCGGCUAAGUAAGUCGGGCGUGAAAUCCCACGGCUCAACCGUGGAAGUGCACUCGAAACUGCAUAGCUAGAGUCCUGGAGAGGAAGGUGGAAUGCUUGGUGUAGAGGUGAAAUUCGUAGAUAUCAAGCGGAACACCGGUGGCGAAGGCGGCCUUCUGGACAGUGACUGACGCUGAGAGCGAAAGCGUGGGGAGCAAACAGG